rnacentral:rRNA from 1 species
GCACAAGCGGAGGAACAUGUGGUUUAAUUCGAUGAUACGCGAGGAACCUUACCUGGGCUUAAAUGCAGAGUGCAUGAAGUGGAAACACUUCUUCCCUUCGGGCUCUUUGCAAGGUGCUGCAUGGUUGUCGUCAGCUCGUGCCGUGAGGUGUCGGGUUAAGUCCCAUAACGAGCGCAACCCUUAUCGUUAGUUGCCAGCGGGUAAAGCCGGGAACUCUAGCGAAACUGCCGGUGUAAACCGAGAGGAAGGUGGGGAUGACGUCAAAUCAGCACGGCCCUUAUGUCCAGGGCUACACACGUGUUACAAUGGCCGGUACAGAGGGCAGCUACCUGGAGACAGGAUGCGAAUCUCGAAAGCCGGUCUCAGUUCGGAUCGGAGUCUGCAACUCGACUCCGUGAAGCUGGAUUCGCUAGUAAUCGCGCAUCAGCCAUGGCGCGGUGAAUACGUUCCCGGGCCUU